AUGAACGCUGGCGGCGUGCCUAAUACAUGCAAGUCGAGCGAACGGACGAGAAGCUUGCUUUUCUGAUGUUAGCGGCGGACGGGUGAGUAACACGUGGAUAACCUACCUAUAAGACUGGGAUAACUUCGGGAAACCGGAGCUAAUACCGGAUAAUAUUUUGAACCGCAUGGUUCAAAAGUGAAAGACGGUCUUGCUGUCACUUAUAGAUGGAUCCGCGCUACAUUAGCUAGUUGGUAAGGUAACGGCUUACCAAGGCAACGAUGCAUAGCCGACCUGAGAGGGUGAUCGGCCACACUGGAACUGAGACACGGUCCAGACUCCUACGGGAGGCAGCAGUAGGGAAUCUUCCGCAAUGGGCGAAAGCCUGACGGAGCAACGCCGCGUGAGUGAUGAAGGUCUUCGGAUCGUAAAACUCUGUUAUUAGGGAAGAACAUAUGUGUAAGUAACUGUGCACAUCUUGACGGUACCUAAUCAGAAAGCCACGGCUAACUACGUG
rnacentral:rRNA from 1 species